ACUUGUCAUCUGGUGAAUGCAUUUAUAUACAUACACAAAAGAUAAAUGCAUGUUUGUAUUAUAUAUGAAGACCUAGCUUGGUGAUUUUGAGAUUUAUUUUGCUAAUAAAUGCUAGCUGGAAUGUUAGUACUAAUUGCUUCUGCAACAGCAAAUCUUUAAGGUCUCUGGAGCUACUGUGGAAAAAAAACAUUUCCUCACCUAUUCUGGAUGCUCAGCUGAACAUAUUAAAGGGGAACUGAGACAAGGACACUUCUGACAAACUCACGCUAGACUUCUUGACCUCAGUUGUGACAAAAGUAUUUUAAUUUGUCAUUGAGCCCAUAACUGGUUUCUAGAAGGGCUUCUCUGUGGUGGCUUUUUACCACAGAUAAGAAAAGUGGUCUGUCCUAGCAACUUGCAGUCAGUUUCUUCUGUGAAUAGUUCCUGGAUUUUAAUAAGAAAUACUUCUUUCUCUGCCAGAGCUCUUUUGGACUAGAAAGAACAACUGCUGUGGUAGCCAAAUGGCUGUGGAACUUCAGGGUACCAAAGGGCAGGCUUCCCCAUGGAACAUCUUGUUAAUAGCUUCCUUUCCAUUUUGUAUCAGACAUUAGACUUUACUGAAACCAGGAAUGUACACCUCACCUUACUAGGAAAUGCUGACCAUGCCAGUGCUGAUGAUGAGCCAGGUGAGAAGGAGCUGAGAGGACUAGAGUUGGAUGCAAGGUAUUUUCUUAAUAUUUUAUUUUCUCCAUUUUUUUUCUUUUCCAUGAGCAGUGCAACGUUUUUUGUGACAAAGAAACCAUUUAAUUACCCCAAGGAUCCAGGAUCUGUGACUUUCAAUACAUCCUUUUGCUACUUUGAAAUUUUCACUUGUGCAGACAUACUCUACCAUGACCCAGCUGUGGUUUUGGCGAGCAGAUUUCAGAUUGACACCAUUCUGUUCCUAACUGCUUAGGUGAACACCCACUGUUUUCAGCUGUCCAGUUUCAGUCAGCAUGCACCUUGGGAAUGGGUGUCAACUUCCUUUCAGCAAAUACACACAACUCCACUUCAGAUAUGACAGUUGGGUAAUGUGAGAGUGCUCUAAGUGAUCCUCAUUCUCAUGGGCAGCAUUUGUACCUGUGUAGUGCAGCUGACCUGAGCAGAAAUUCACAUCAGCUUUAAGCAUGCAUACUCAUGUCACAGGACUUGGACAUGUGAAGUUCUUGAUAUAAAGGAAAUAAAAAUGUGCUAUGUAAGAACUUGGAAAUUCUUAAGUUGACUACAACACCUCUAAUCUUUAAUAGUUAAAUAAGCAGUCCUGGGCGUUUAUGAGUGAUAUUCUUCAUCUUCUGGCCCUGGUGUUUUAUUGGUAUUUUGGCCAUGUAAAGACCCAAACUUCAUUUUGUCCACUAGAUGGAACCCUAACUCUAAGAAAUGUUCUUGUGAGUUCUGCAAAUAGUAGUUCUGGGCUGGAGACUUUGGGUGUCGCAUUUUCUUUGUAGGCUUUGUUUUCACUGUAUAUUUUUUCCUGAGCAGAUGCUAGAAGUCAAGCACCAAUUUUGUAUGCAUGUGUUUACAGAACUGAGAGAAACAUCCUGCUAAAAUGUAGCUCUAAACUUUACAGGACAUGUGAGCCAUUCCUUUAGUUCUCAGUUUAUGACCCUAUGUCACAAUUCAUAUUCUUUAUGAAUAGGUUUUAUUCUGGGCUUUAAAGAUGUCUUUGUUUAUGUAAAGCACUUGCAUAAAGAUGUGAAUUUUGGUGAUAGCUUUUCCUUAAAAACUUCUUGAUUGGACAGCGUCACCACCCAUUUUAAUCAGAAUUACUGAUUUCUAAUGCAGUUAGAGAAGAAUGGAAAACUUCAGCCAUUUAAAUCAUAUAUAAUCAGGACACUAAUCUUGUCACUUAAAAUACAUGAAACACCAGAGUUUGAUCUACUUUCCAUCGAUGGCAAAAAAACCAUUAAGUUAAGAUUGUAGUCCAUGAAGGCUCAAUUUAGUUUCAAAACAGUCUGGUAAACAUUAGAAUUACAUUUUGCACAUAUAUAAUUAGUGACUACUGCUUUCCUGUCUCAUAUAUUUGCUUUCAGAUUAGAAACUUUCUUGUGUUAUAUGUUUGCAGGGAGUGGUAUUUAUGCCCCAGAUGGUCCAAGAGCAUACAAUACUGAAAUGGAUAAUGGUCACCUUUUGGUGACCUGAGUUCACUCCCACAUCUCUCUCCUGACUCCUGCUGUUGUUAACUGGACAUUGUAUGCCAGCCAGGUCAAACAACUUCCAUCAAACAAACACUCUUUUCAGUGGGGUCAUUUACCAUGAUCUCUUCUCCUUCAUGGAACUCACUAAAUCUGAGGGAAAUCGAGCCAUAUGCCAGCAGGACCUCUGUUGCCAUCUCUUCCAAGACAGUAGAGAAGCAGCAAGAUGAAAUUUAUGUCCUGGGUGCUUUUGAUGGGCUACAUGUUGUUGAAUGACAGUAUUAUUUGCAGAUCUGCACUCUGCCCACCUGAGCACAUGUGGUCAGCCCAUGGAGAUGGUUCAGACCAAGUUUGAGAUGUUCUCCCUCAGUGGCACAUUUGGCACCAGCUACAUCUUCCCAGAAGUGCUGUACAGCGGGGUGCAGCUGGCCCCUGGGGAGUUCGAGGUGCUAGCUGAUGGACGUCUGAAAAAUCGGAAUACUACAUCAAAGCCAGUUUUGAGUGUAACACUCUAUGGGAGAUGGUAUGAAAAGGACGCUCCAUCCACAUAUCAAACUUCAGCAUGAUUUCACUGCAGAUCCUUCAAGCUUUCAUCAGCUCGUUUCUGUAAUGCCAAUUAAUCACAAAUAAUGAAAACAAGCAGUUUCUCCGGAGCAUGUGUGUGUUCUCAUGGAAUGGUGGCUCCUACCGGUGCUAGGGAGAGCCGGGACUAUGCCAGCAGGUGUUGGGUAAGGAGAGUUGUGAAAAAUGCCAAUCACUUAUUUUUUAAAUUUUUACAAGUUUAAUAGUAAUAAAAUGGUUAUAAAAAUAGUAAUCUAGUUAGAGUAAUAAAAUUUGAACAAUUGAGAUUAGGACAAUAUGAGACAAUAAAAACAAAGAGAUACGGACGUCGGGGUACCUUUUCCUGGGCAACACAAGCCUGAAAAAGGACCCCGUUAACAGAGGAUUUACCGUUAAAAACAAUCGCCUGUUGGUUAUUCAUACACCUCAUACGUGAUGCAUCAAUUCUAUUCAAAUUCAUUCAAACAUAGGAUUCUGUCUGGUCACUGUCAACUUCUUCCUCUUAAUCCUCAUGCCAUCUUCCUGUCAGAGCGAGGUGGGAAGAAGUUAGUUUUCUGCUGAUAAGGGAGCAAUAAAUUCCCUUUCUCUGAAAGAUUUAGGUGUUCUGUGGCUUCUAUCUGGUGCGAAUCCUUUCUUAAAAAAAUAUCUUUCAUACCAUAGGUCUAUUUUAACGUUAUGUUACAACCUAAAACUAUAUUUAUUACACUACUUGAGAAAAUUAAUACAGCAUAAUUUUCUAACAUAACACAUAUAAUAUUCAUUUUAAUACUUGUGAAAAGCCAAUCAUAAAAUACACACUUUUCACAGAGUGAACAGAUGGAGCAGGUGGGACAUGCUGGCACGUUUGAGGAUGUGGGCCCUGCAGACUGUGUUUCUGGGGAGUGCACUGGGGUGCUUUGUGUUUCCCAGCUAAGAUUUCUAUGCGUGCCUAAUUCUGAUGUUUGUUCUGCAGGUUUGCUCUGAAGCACAAACAUUACAAUUAAUCUGACCAAUAAUAUAAAAAAUUGAU